rnacentral:tRNA from 1 species
AUUGGCAGAUCAGUGCACUAAGUUUAAGCCUUAGAAACAAUAUCAUCUAACCAAUC